rnacentral:rRNA from 1 species
CCAAUAGCGUAUAUUAAAGUUGUUGCAGUUAAAAAGCUCGUAGUUGAAUUUCGGGGUCAGUAGGUUGGUCAUGCCACUGGUAUGUACUGGUCUCACUGAUUCCUCCUUCCUGAUGAACUGUAAUGCCAUUAAUUUGGUGUUGCAGGGAAUCUGGACUGUUACUUUGAAAAAAUUAGAGUGUUUAGAGCAGGCUAACGCCUGAAUACAUUAGCAUGGAAUAAUGAAAUAGGACGUUCGAUCCUAUUUUGUUGGUUUCUAGGAUUGACGUAAUGAUUAAUAGGGAUAGUUGGGGGCAUUAGUAUUCAAUUGUCAGAGGUGAAAUUCUUGGAUUUAUUGAAGACUAACUACUGCGAAAGCAUUUGCCAAGGAUGUUUUCAUUAAUCAAGAACGAAAGUUAGGGGAUCGAAGACGAUCAGAUACCGUCGUAGUCUUAACCAUAAACUAUGCCGACUAGGGAUCGGAUGAUGUUAAUUUUUUAAUGACUCAUUCGGCGCCUUACG